CCCAGCCCCUCUGUGCCCGACGUGGGGCACGGCUGCCUGGCCAACGCUCCUCGCACGGCUCAGCAAGGACAAGCAGCCUUUGCUCUUCCAUGAAAGACCUUCUGUUAUCCCGGUCGGAUGCAAGGGGAUGUUAUUUGGAUGCUUUUCUGUGCAAGGAGGCUCCAGAAGGGCUGGUAAAGCACCGGACUUGACCUUCUGCUCAUCUGCUUUGCACGACAGUUUCAGAAAACUGAAGAGAUCCUGCUUUGUGUCCACCCAAUACAGCGUUGAGGAUACAACGCUGAUUCAUGACAUUUCAACUCGCUGCAGGCAGCUGAAUAGAGGAAUACAGCAAAAAAACCCAACCCAGUCGAAGCACCAGAAUUUUGCUAGCAAGUGAAUGGCAGUCAUCCAGUGUAGUACAGUAUGGAUUCUCAGAGACCUUAAGGAUACUACCUCUGUUCCUAAACACUCAUAUGAUGCCAGUAACCAGAAUAUGUACCAAGCUUUUGGAUCUUCAAGCAUAUUGGAAUGCCAGUGAGGACACACAGAGAAGAUUCAGGAUCUUUAUGAAGUGCAGUCCUCGCACAUACUGUUAUAGCCAGAGUCAAGGAUCUCGGUUCCACAGGAGUUGAUGGCCCAUUCCCAGCUCCGAGCCAGGCAUGCUGCCUGCGAUGUCAGCUGUCACACCAGCACUUGGCAACAUUUUGAUGGUGACAAUUGUUCCGCUAAGAUGGGGUCUGACAUUUAUCCGUCGAGGAGGCUUCAUGGGAAAGCUGUAAAGC